rnacentral:rRNA from 1 species
ACCCGCACAAGCAGCGGAGCAUGUGGUUUAAUUCGAAGCAACGCGAAGAACCUUACCAGAUCUUGACAUCCAAUUGACCAUCUUUUAAUCGAGAUUUUGCCUUCGGGUACAAUUGAGACAGGUGGUGCAUGGUUGUCGUCAGCUCGUGUCGUGAGAUGUUGGGUUAAGUCCCAUAACGAGCGCAACCCCUAUCAUUAGUUGCCAUCAGGUCAAGCUGGGGACUCUAAUGAAACUGCCUACGCAAGUAGUGAGGAAGGUGGGGAUGACGUCAAAUCAGCACGGCCCUUACGUCCAGGGCUACACACGUGCUACAAUGGCCGGUACAAAGGGCAGCUACCUGGUGACAGGAUGCUAAUCUCAAAAGCCGGUCUCAGUUCGGAUCGGAGUCUGCAACCCGACUCCGUGAAGUUGGAUUCGCUAGUAAUCGCGCAUCAGCCAUGGCGCGGUGAAUACGUUCCCGGGCCUU